rnacentral:rRNA from 1 species
AAACCUGUCGAUAGCAUAGAGGACACACCUGUUCCCAUACCGAACACAGAAGUUAAGCUCUAUAGCGCCGAAAGUAGUUGGAGGAUCGCUUCCUGCGAGGAUAGGACGAUGCGGUGC